UUCCCCAUUGCCCCACCCCCACGUCCCCACGCAGCCAAAACUCUCAAAGAAAUCCCAUUACCCUAACCCUCCCAGCAGCACCUCCCAGCCCCGCCGAACAGUGUCUCCCAGCCCCUCCCAGCAGCCCCUAACUCUUCUUGCCCCUUUGCCUCCAAUCCUCUCAACUCUCAGCGCCUUUUGCUCUCGCUCUCUCUUCCUCGUUCUCCCUUUGCUCCGCGCCUCCGUCAUUGCUGUCGGCCUGCCUCUGGACAGCACCAAGAAUGGAGCCUAAGUCAGAGUUGGUCCAAUGGAGGAUAGCUAAAAAAUUGAGGAGCAGGUGCAGGAAGAAGUGAUUUCAGACAAUGGAACUGAAAAGAAGCAGGAAACUCGUGAUGAGAUGCUUUCGCAGCACAGUUUGAUCAUAGUAUGAGGGAUAACAUUAGUGAAACUGAAGGUGGAAUUGGUGGAUAUGUAAUAUUGUAAUCAUUUUUUCAUUAAUCUAGCU